UAAAGACCAAUGAUGAGGUAUUUAAUUAAGAUAAUUUUUAAUGUGAAGCUUGCAUUCAAUGCUCAGACACAAGCUGUGCAAGCUGGAAAAACAUUUUCUGUAUACAUCACUCAGCAGAGGGAGAUCCCAGUCUCCUGAGCUUCCUUGCCAGGAUAACAUUCACCCCCUGGGCAGUGCUGCCCUUCUCCUCCUGCGCUGUCUCCUUCAAGACAAGGGACACUGAUUGUUUUUAUUUCUCCAAGCCAGGGCAGAACAUGUUUUUCCUGAUUUUCUGAUGAAAAUCCAAAGGCUGUGAUGAUCGUAACAACUCAAUUAGGCUGGAAGAAAAAAACAAAGUGCUGAAAUCUGAAGUAGAGAAGUAGAGUCAUCCCCUGUUGUGCUCCCUCCUGACAACCAUCAGUCCUUAGAACUGAAACACAGCCUGAACAAGCUUCCCCAUCCCCCUGAGCUGCCAUAUUCCUUGUCUCUGUUGUCACCAUUUGUUUUCCUUUAUAGCUAAUUUCAUCUGUUGCUAAACAUUCCUCUGAAAUGACACCUUCUCCUUUAAUCUGCAGCCAAAACCCAUUCUUGCUCCCUGGGUGGGAUAUGUCUGCCUCUCUCCUGCAUCUGAGAAGCUGCAGCUGCAUCACUGUGAUCUUGUGUCCAGUCUCCUCCUCUUUCUCCCCUCCAGAGUUUUCUAGGAAGGGAAUGCCCUUCUUCCAAGGCAUUCCCCAUAAAGCCUGUGAGCACUCACCAUACCAAAAGCUAGUACUAGCUUACCUAUGCAAAGCAGGGCUGUUCCUCGAAGAGUAAAACGAAAAUGAUUUGCUAACCUGCCCAAGUCUGCUCAUACGCACUUGGAUGGAGCAAGAACAUCCAACUUACCUGGAUAUUUGUUUGAUCCAAAACUGGAUCCUUAAGGAGAGGCUUUUUUGAUCAAACACAUCCUGAAGGAGGAAUGCAGUCUAUGGCAUGGUACUUCCUUCAGUGAGAUGGCAGACUUCUCCAAACCCAGAGAUUCCAGCCCACGAGCUGCCAGUGGCAGGGUGGGGGGGGGGGGGGGGGGGGGGGGGGGGGGGGGGGGGGGGGGGGGGGGGGGGCCAACAGGAGCAGAACCAAACCAGCCACGGCUGCAAGCAGGUACAGCUGCCACAGGUGCUUGCAGACUUCCCUGGAGUGCCUGGAAGAGGUUACUUAACAUGGCACCAGCAUCCCCGGUUGUUACCACUUCUCAUGUGUAAUACACGCUCUGCUCCCUGCUGCAGCGCUGGAGAAACCAGGAGCACUAAUGUCCCACCCUCAAUAGGUAGGUUAUGGGACUUUUAA
rnacentral:lncRNA from 12 species